AACCACAGCUCUACCCACCCCGCCUCCUCCAUCGCCUCCUGCCUCAGCCCCCAUGGUGUCAGUUAACAGGAAAUGACCUGCCCAUCUCCAUGGUGAUGACCCUGCCCUCCCAGGCUGAGGAUGGAUUGGAUGAUGACUGUGAUGAUGUCACUGCUCUCACCACAAAGCAUAACUUCUGAGCUGAUCCAGCUGAUACAGACCCUGGACAAAUGCAUUGCACAAAGAUGUUGACAUGUUUUUGGUCCAAAUAAAAGCUGAUAGUUGUUCAGA